rnacentral:rRNA from 1 species
ACUACGGGUGGCAGCAGUGGGGAAUAUUGGGCAAUGGACGCAAGUCUGACCCAGCAACGCCGCGUGAAGGAAGAAGGCUUUCGGGUUGUUAACUUCUUUUAAGGGGGAAGAGCAGAAGACGGUACCCCUUGAAUAAGCCACGGCUAACUACGUGCCAGCAGCCGCGGUAAUACGUAGGUGGCAAGCGUUGUCCGGAUUUACUGGGUGUAAAGGGCGUGCAGCCGGAGAGACAAGUCAGAUGUGAAAUCCACGGGCUCAACCCGUGAACUGCAUUUGAAACUGGUUCCCUUGAGUGUCGGAGAGGUAAUCGGAAUUCCGGGUGUAGCGAGGAAAUGCGUAGAUAUAAGGAAGAACACCAGUGGCGAAGGCGGAUUACUGGACGAUAACUGACGGUGAGGCGCGAAAGCGUGGGGAGCAAACAGGAUUAGAUACCCGAGUAGUC